UACGGAGGGUGCAAGCGUUAUCCGGAUUCACUGGGUUUAAAGGGUGCGUAGGCGGUCAGGUAAGUCCGUUGUGAAAUCUCUGAGCUUAACUCAGAAACUGCCAUGGAUACUAUUUGUCUUGAAUGUUGUGGAGGUAAGCGGAAUAUGUCAUGUAGCGGUGAAAUGCUUAGAUAUGACAUAGAACACCAAUUGCGAAGGCAGCGUACUGCACAAAUAUUGACGCUGAGGCACGAAAGCGUGGGGAUCAAACAGG
rnacentral:rRNA from 1 species